UGGGGAAUAUUGCACAAUGGGCGCAAGCCUGAUGCAGCCAUGCCGCGUGUGUGAAGAAGGCCUUCGGGUUGUAAAGCACUUUCAGCGAGGAGGAAGGUGGUGAGCUUAAUACGCUCAUCAAUUGACGUUACUCGCAGAAGAAGCACCGGCUAACUCCGUGCCAGCAGCCGCGGUAAUACGGAGGGUGCAAGCGUUAAUCGGAAUUACUGGGCGUAAAGCGCACGCAGGCGGUUUGUUAAGUCAGAUGUGAAAUCCCCGGGCUCAACCUGGGAACUGCAUUUGAAACUGGCAAGCUAGAGUCUCGUAGAGGGGGGUAGAAUUCCAGGUGUAGCGGUGAAAUGCGUAGAGAUCUGGAGGAAUACCGGUGGCGAAGGCGGCCCCCCUGGACGAAGACUGACGCUCAGGUGCGAAAGCGUGGGGCAGCAAACAGGAUUAGAUACCCUGGUAGUCCACGCUGUAAACGAUGUCGAUUUGGAGGUUGUGCCCCUUGAGGCGUGGCUUCCGGAGCUAACGCGUUAAAUCGACCGCCNGGGGAGUACGGCCGCAAGGUUAAAACUCAAAUGAAUUG
rnacentral:rRNA from 1 species